rnacentral:lncRNA from 1 species
UGCCUCUCUUUAGCUCCUGCCUGCCAUAGGAAGACAUGUACUGUCUUACUAGCAAAGUAUUUGUGCUAGAAUAUGGAUUUAAUAACAAGCUGAUAGCUGAAGUGAUUUAGAUAAAUAAAAGGCUAUGACACCUGUGGAGCUGGGGAGCCCCAAGAGGCGCUGAAAUGGAUGGCUUUCUAAAGUGAAGCUCCAGUACCAAGAAGUGGGAAACACUGCUUUCCAUGAGAGAGAAAAAUGAAAGAUUCCAGGAAUGGCGGUGACAAAGGACAGGUUUGCUUCCCAGAACUAAUGAACCUGGAAAGUUGCCUGCACUCCAGGCCAGACCAGGCAAUGCUCCUUCAGGACGUUGGGUGUGAAAGGCUCGUUUGAGGAUGCCAAUUGGAAGAACUGUCAAUGAGACAUUUGUUCAUGAGCUAUAUUAAAUGGCUGCAAUAAAAUAACU